GUUGCAGGAAAAUAAAUAAAUAAAUAAAUCAGAUAACCCCCAAAAUCAAAGCCGCAGCAAACAGGCGCUGAAAAAUGGAGGGAGUUCCGGCGCCGCGUCCGACUCCGCAAUCGAAACAUUAAGAGCCAGAGGAUAUAGCUUCGCGACCACGAACAAGUGGAGGCGAUGAUCCUGAUCCACUCCGCCUUGUCCGACGACAAGCGUACGGUGGUGAAUUCAGUGGAAGCCGAGCUCACCAACAUGGACCUCAAAUCCGUAUCCGCUAGGUAAAUCACACCUCCUCGGCUCCAAAGUCCUCCAAGUAAAUCACACCUCUCUGUAUUUCUCGUUAUUUUCUCGUUUUCUGUUUGGUUGCUGAGAAAAUAGAUGAAGAGAAAGAAAAAUGUGGUCUUUCGUUUGCGAGGAAUUCGAGUAGUCGGCGGCUUUUGAAACUUGGGCCCACAGAAGCGUCGUUCCUGGAAGUAAGGCUUUCACAGGAAAGUGAUGGUAACGUCCCCCUCCAUUUCAAUGGACAAGAAUGAUUCGGAUAAGAAUCUUACUUGUUCAGGCAAUGCACUCAGACCAAAAUCGGAAAUUUUAAAUUUCCAAGAGAAUCAAGCAACAGAUUCUCCGGCUGCAAAGAACAACGAUAAGAAUCUCGUGCAAAAGAACACUGAUAAGAAUCUCAUGAUAAGAAUCACAAUAGCUAGCUUAAUGCUAUAAAGGGAAGACCUUUAAGUCUCUAUGAUAUACUCCCUUGCUGUGGCAAUAAUCCACCCCAUCAACAAGCUGUUGGAAGUAUCUCCUCGCUUCGCCUUCACUUAGUCGCCCAUGAUGAACCUAAAAACAGGCCACUUCAACGUUACCAUCACCAUUUUCUCAAGGACCUAAUGGUCCACAAUUAGAAAUUGAGUUGUGGUAUUUGAAAAGUUAGGAGUACUCACGAUUUUAUCAAACAAUUCACCACCAGUAAUGAACUCCAAGAUUAUAUAAAUCUUAGUACGGCUCGCUAGAACCUGGAGAAAACAACAUUCAUCCUCAGUGACCGACUGCACAAAUCAAACAAUUUACAGAAACAGAAAGUUUUUGCAGCUAAAAAUAAAGAUACGACAUGCCUCAUGCAGACGAACAUCGUAGGGAUGCCUGACAAGCUUCAUGAUAGAUAUUUCCCUCUUGAUCUGCACCACACAUAUCAAAUUUCUUUUAAGAAAAAACCUCCAUUUUGGAUUUUGAAUAUGUUCAGUUUAGUAUUCAAGCUAGUAUGAAAUUCAGCUAGUUAUGGAAAGCAACGGCAAGUGGGAUAAUACCCGACAAAAUGACUCCACAUCAAAUUUAGUAUUCAAGCUAGAUUAAGAAACUAACACUUUCUUAGAACUUAGUAAUGAACAUUGUGCUUCGUAUUUGUGUAUGUAAUCUCAAAGCGAAUCCACAUCAAAUUUUUAAUUGAUGUAAGUACAUUUUCAUGAAACUCAAUAUGAAUUUCAUAAGAAGUUUUAGGUGUCUCUCUAAACUCAAUAUGAAUUUCAAUCAAUGGCAGAUGAAUAAAAAAUAUUCCAGGUUUUUUUUCGUUUAUCUUUAAGGCUUUCACAGGAAAGUGAUGGUAACGCCCCCCUCCAUUCGAGAAGUUCCAAGUUGGGGCAGCUAAAAGUCGGUUUCCACAGCAGGGCAAGUUGCUAUUACCAUAAUAUUCAACCACUCAAUGUUGCUAUUGCAUGCAUAACUCAUGGGCAUGAUGCAAUCAUAGGCAGAUUAAUUACUCUGAUGUUAGCUCCGACAGUAGUGGGCUAUUGCCAGAAAUUAUGAGUUUAGAUCAGUUGGAAGGCAGCAGAACCUUCAAUUGAAAGCAAGAGGAUAAAUCUUAUAAAAAAAUUGAUACAGAUAAGAUAACACUCGUAAGGCAGAUUCCCAUGAUGAAAGAACUCAAGACAAACCGAGUAGUUCUGCAACGACUACGAGGCCAAAAGAAGCAAUUGAAUCUGUCCCUGUUCAAAACCAAGCAGCCGCACAAAAGCUUCCCCAAAAAAUGAGUCAUCGAGACCAUGAUGACAAGCAUUCAAGAGGCAGACAGUUUGGGGGAAAGGGGAGGCAAGAGGAAGAGCCCGAUGGGAAAAGAGAAAAGCCAGGGCGAAGCCUUCAAUUGGAGGUGCCUGUACAGGUAGUAGUCGUGAGAAGGAAAUUGCACGGCAGCUCCAAAAUCAAUUUGAUUUGGAUGAUUAUCAUGUCAGUGUGCAAUUGAUUUUCAGGUAGGGGAUGUAAUUAGCACUCAUAAAGUGGGUAACAGUUGAAGUGGACCAUUUUUAGAAUAAGUGGCAGUAGUAGAACUGAGAAAUGAAAUUGCAGAGUGCAUGUAUGUUUAUCCUUCUGAAGUGUAAUUUUUGGAUUGAACACAAUUUCAUGGCAAGUCAAGGUUAAUGAAAAGGUUGUAGAAACUAUAUAUUGACUGGCAUCUUGAGGCUAUCAUUGAUUUUCUUUCUAACCUUAAAAGUAAAGGACAUGGAUCCUCUCUGGAUCUAGUGGUCCUAAUUCACCAAGUUCAAUUAUUCGGGCUAUUAAAAUUUGAUCAAACGGUUACAAACAGGAAUUUGCUUUAAAAGUUAUAAUAACUUUAACCGUUGGAUUAAAUUUCAGUGGUUCGGAUGAUUAGACUUGGUGGAUUAGGACCACUAGAUUCGGAGAGGAUCCAUGUCCAAAAGUAAAUUCCUUGAAUAUGUGGCGGAAGCAGGGCAAGUAUUUGUGCGAAUUUGAGUAGUAUUUGUCAUAUAUUUGGGCGAAUGUCUUAUAUUGAUUGUUGUAAUUUUGAAAUGUUACUUGAUGCAAUAAUUCAAAAUUCAAAACAA